rnacentral:rRNA from 1 species
UGCAGUCGACGGUAACGGAGAAGCUUGCUUUCUUGCUGACGAGUGGCGGACGGGUGAGUAAUGCUUGGGAAUCUGGCUUAUGGAGGGGGAUAACUACGGGAAACUGUAGCUAAUACCGCGUAAUAUCUUCGGAUUAAAGGGUGGGACUUUCGGGCCACCUGCCAUAAGAUGAGCCCAAGUGGGAUUAGGUAGUUGGUGGGGUAAAGGCCUACCAAGCCGACGAUCUCUAGCUGGUCUGAGAGGAUGACCAGCCACACUGGAACUGAGACACGGUCCAGACUCCUACGGGAGGCAGCAGUGGGGAAUAUUGCACAAUGGGGGGAACCCUGAUGCAGCCAUGCCGCGUGAAUGAAGAAGGCCUUCGGGUUGUAAAGUUCUUUCGGUGAUGAGGAAGGUGUUUGUUUUAAUAGAACAAGCAAUUGACGUUAGUCACAGAAGAAGCACCGGCUAACUCCGUGCCAGCAGCCGCGGUAAUACGGAGGGUGCGAGCGUUAAUCGGAAUGACUGGGCGUAAAGGGCACGCAGGCGGUGACUUAAGUGAGAUGUGAAAGCCCCGAGCUUAACUUGGGAAUUGCAUUUCAUACUGGGUCGCUAGAGUAUUUUUAGGGAGGGGUAGAAUUCCACGUGUAGCGGUGAAAAUGCGUAGAGAUGUGGGAGGAAUAC